UCUCUGGCUGGCUUGACUAUAAUGGGACUAUGCGGGAGUGAAAGAAAGACAGUGAUGUACGACAACCAGAUCCAAAGUACCGUGUGGUAAUGACUGGAAUAUGAUGACGCCGCGCUGUCGACAACAACGAUGGAUGGUACUUCUCUAGUAAAACUUGUGCUGGUGGAUGUGGAUGAGGAUGAAGAUCCGGAUGGGCAAUGACAACUGUUCCAACACCUCCUGCACAAUUUUCCAGACCCUAGAGCAUAACAAAAAUCUUUUUCCUCUUCUGGCUCCCAAGCAAAGCAAACAAAAUAAAAAUAAGCCAAAAAGACGGUUGUUGUCAUAAUUCGUGUAACUUGUGCGAAUAUAUGUUUGAAUGACUGUAUACCUAACUAGAAAAAUACAAUCAUGAUUGUUGGCUGGCUUCAGAUCUGGCCUCAAGCUAAAAAUGAGAUAGUUUUUGCCAUUCAUUACAUUUGAGAACAUCAUGGAACAUCGAGGAAGAGUCCGACACAGGCCCUCGGGUGAGAAAAUAAAGCAGGCAAAAUGUUUACCAUGCCAUGGUUAUGGUUGUCCAAAAAUUGGUUGGACAAUGGAGUAUGGACCUGGACCUGGACCUGAUACUCGGAGCUAGGGCUCCAGCAGCUAACUGAAGAAUAUAUAUGUAUCUAUGGUUUUAUAGAUAUAGCUUAAGUCUAUUCCAUGCGGACAACUGAGGAGCAAGAAAAUUGGUAAAUAUAAUUUUUGGAAAUAAGCUCAGAUGGACAACUAACAACUAGGGAUGAGAAAACAAAAUGGAUGGGCGGAUAUGAGAAUUUCGGGCGGCUUCGCAUACAGUACACCAUCUACCUACUCACAUGUCAUGAGUGUAUGAGUGAUGCUAUCAGCCAAGCGUCAUCAUCAUCAUAAUAUGACCGACCAUCAAGGGAAUUUAAAUUGUGAUAGAUAUUGUGAAUGUGAAUAUGAAUCUGUGUUGGAAAACGAAAAAUCUGAACAGGAGGAUGUCGAAAAAUAAUAACAUGCCAGUUUAGAUUAGAUUGUAUGUGGUGAUGAUCCGUAAUGGCUGAGAAACAUCUCACUUGGAUCUCCAUGGGUCCAUUGUGCUCCGCAGGAAGAAAAAAAAAUUGGAUAGGGUACAGGAAACUUGUGUGGGGCAUCCGCAUAGAUUGUGGAGGGUAUCUUCCUCAUCGUCACAUCCCCUAUAAAUGGGAUGAGCUGCUACCCAUUCUGUUGAUGUGGAUAUACACCAAAGAGUUGUGACCCGUUAGGGCAGCUGAGGCCCACCUAGCUGCAAAAGGAAUUUUAUUUUACCUUUGGAAAUUUACGGCCAUAGAUUCCUCAAAACUCUGCAAAAUUCAAAAGCUGACCACCUGCUGUUUGCGAUUACAGUGAAACGUUGUUUGUUAAGUUUAUUUAUUUGCUCAAGUGACCUGUAUAUAAUUUUGGUACCAUAUGGCUCGGACCAAGCAUUGAUCCAUUUUUUUGGUCAAUUUGUCUACCUUUUUAUUUCCUUAAAUGUCACAGUGCUCUGGGAUACAACGACGGAUCAUUGUUGGUAUGGCUUUAAGUUAGGUUAGGUUGGAGUGGCUGUCCAGAUGUCAUUAAAGCACGUAGAGUCGUAGACCUCAAGGGUCCAUUGUGAUACCACUAAUGAGGUUACUCAUGGGAGAGUAAUGAACUUAAACAAAGCAUUUCGUACUUUUAAUAAAGUUAGAGAGACGUUUUG